rnacentral:rRNA from 1 species
GUGUCAGCAGCCGCGGUAAUACGGAGGGGGCUAGCGUUGUUCGGAAUUACUGGGCGUAAAGCGCACGUAGGCGGCUUUGUAAGUUAGAGGUGAAAGCCCGGAGCUCAACUCCGGAACUGCCUUUAAGACUGCAUCGCUUGAACGUCGGAGAGGUAAGUGGAAUUCCGAGUGUAGAGGUGAAAUUCGUAGAUAUUCGGAAGAACACCAGUGGCGAAGGCGACUUACUGGACGACUGUUGACGCUGAGGUGCGAAAGCGUGGGGAGCAAACAGGAUUAGAUACCCUCGUAGUCC